AGAGAGCUCAAGCACGGCAUGGCACCGUACAUAACAACGCCGACAAUGCACAACCUAGACCUAAACCUAACAUUUACAAGGCUCCACGCAUUUGUCCCGCCUGUACUUCGAUCGGCAUUGCCGCCUGCGACUUUCAAUUAGGAUUUUGUCAAGAGGGCCGAAGAUGGCAUCUGUGUUUGACUUUAUUACGCACCGUUGUUUGUGUGAACCGUUAAGCGUUUCCCUACAAAAUAGAAUCACCAAGCGUAAUAAAUAAUUUUUUAAAAGAACUGCUCAAACUGCGUUAUUUUCUUUAAACACAGUGUAGACGCAAGCGUUCGUAUAGACGAGCAUGCACUCACCUCCGUGAACACACACAUGCAUAUCGUACCCCUAUGAACACAUUCGAAAGAUUGAACCGGCAUAUCAUCUUGAAAUUUACGAAACCAUCAUAGGCAUCUCGUCAUUGAUGGAAACGUCUCCUUCCACAGAAUGCGCAUCGCCGCAACUCUGAAACAAACCGAGAAAUAAAUACGAGCAGCAAGAUUUAAAACCCCGAUGAAUUAAAAUACUGCAGUUCCUCUAACCAUUCAAUCAAUCACAGCUGGUUCGCCUUAAAGCUGUGUGGUUGACCAAACGAAGGCCAACGCAUUUUGAUCCCGUGAAUGUCAACCGCUCCAAGCCAUGGCUCUAUAGAAAAGAAACACUAGCGAUCGAACUCCUCCAAGCCAUUGGGUUGACCGGGGAAGGCAACGCGCACAUCUUGAUCGAGAAGAAUGACCGACCCGUGGCUGACCGUGUCAUAUCAUAUCCU
rnacentral:lncRNA from 1 species